AACAGAUACACAUAGAGGAUUAGGGUAUGGAGUGGUGAAGAGCAGGCGAGAAGAUGGAUAUCAUGUAAAUGCAUAGUUAAAUGCACCUGUGACAUAUGAAGUUCCGAUAAUUGAAGUAUUAUCUAGUGAGGCAACUGUUGGUAGAUCUGCAGCAGGAACGGUGCUAGGCCCGGUGUAGGUGGAAUAGGCGUAGCUUAGGCUUUUAACGUUAGCAUCAUCAGGGAUGAUCACUGGGGCGAGCGGAAGAAGAGGAGCCUCGGUAUUUUCCUGGGGGAAGGGGGGGAGGAGCUCAAGUGAUCAUGGCCCUUACGGCCAGGGCUAACACACGUGCUGCAAUGGUAGGGACAGAGGAGUGCAGGCCGGCGAGGGGAAGCCAAUCCCAGAAAACCUUUGUCAGUCCGGAUUGGAGUCUGCAACUCGCCUCCAUGAAGGUGGGGAUCGCUAGUAAUCGCAGAUCAACAUUGGGCCGGUGAAUACGUUCCCGGGCCUGUACGCACCGCCGGUCCCACCAGAGGGAUUUGUUCACCCAGAAGCAGGUAGGGAACCAUUCGGGAGGCCGCUUCCCACGGGGACGAUAAGAGGGUUSSUNKDYANAS
rnacentral:rRNA from 1 species